rnacentral:lncRNA from 1 species
UUUGGUGGCAUAGGCAGUGCAUGGCCUUCGACACUUGGCGGUGGAGCAUUAUUUGGUGGUGCAGAAGGUACAUGAACUUCAAUGCUUAGUGGUGGAGGAGCAUUAUUUGGUGGCAUAGGCGGUACAUGGCCUUCAACACUUGCAGGUGGAGGAGAAUUAGUUGGUGGCAUAGAUGGUACAUGACCUUCAACAUUUGGUGGUGGAGGAGCAUUAUUUGGUGGUGCAGUAGGUGCAUGAACUUCAAUGCUUAAUGGUGGAGGAACAUUAAUUGGUGGUGUGGGCGGUACAUGACCUUCAACACUUGGUGGUGGACGAGAAUUAGCUGGUGGCAGAGAUGGUACAUGACCUUCAACACUUGGUAGUGGAGGAGCAUCUUUUGGUGGCACCGACGGUGCUUGACUUUCAACACUUGGUGGUGGAGGAGAAGCAUCUUUUGGUGGCAAAGACGGUACUUGACUUUCAACACUUGGUGGUGCAGGAGCAUUAUUUGGUGGCUCUGACGGUACAUGUUCAGUACUUGGUGGUGGAGAAGCAGUUUUUGGUGGCAUAGGCGGUACAUGGCCUUCAACACUUGGUGGUGGAGGAGAAUUAGUCGGUGGCAUAGAUCGUACAUGGCCUUCAACACUUGGUGGCGGAGGAUCAUUAUUUGGUGGUGCAGUAGGUACAUGAACUUCAAUGCUUAGUGGUGGAGGAACUUUAAUUGGUGGCGUAGGCGGUACACGACCUUCAACACUUGGUGAUGGAGGAGAAUUAGCUGGUGGCAAAGAUGGUACAUGACCUUCAACACUUGGUAGUGGAGGAGCAUCUUUUGGUGGCACCGACGGUGCUUGACUUUCAACACUUGGUGGUGGAGGAGAAGCAUCUUUUGGUCGCAAAGGCGGUACUUGACUUUCAACACUUGGUGGUGGAGGAGCAUUAUUUGGUGGCUCUGACGGUACAUGUUCAGUACUUAGUGGUGGAGAAGCAGUUUUUGGUGGCAUAGGCGGUACAUGGCCUUCAACACUUGCAGGUGGAGGAGAAUUAGUUGGUGGCAUAGAUGGUACAUGACCUUCAACACUUGGUGGCGGAGGAGCGUUAUUUGGUGGUGUAGUAGGUACAUGAACUUCAAUGCUUAGUGGUGGAGGAACAUUAAUUGGUGGCGUAGGCGGUACACGACCUUCAACACUUGGUGAUGGAGGAGAAUUAGCUGGUGGCAAAGAUGGUACAUAACCUUCAACACUUGGUAGUGGAGGAGUAUCUUUUGGUGGCACCGACGGUACUUGACUUUCAACACUUGGUGGUGGAGGAGCAUUAGUUGCUGGCGCUAACGGUACAUGAACUUCAGUACUUAGUGGUGGAGGAGCAGUUUUUGGUGGCAUAGGUGGUACAUGGCCUUCAUCACUUGCUGGUGGAGGAGAAUUAGGAGGUGGCAUAGAUGGUACAUGACCUCCAACACUUGGUGGUGGAGGAGCAUUAUUUGGUGGUGCAGAAGGUACAUGAACUUCAAUGCUUAGUGGAGGAGGAACGUUAAUUGGUGGCUUAGGCGGUACAUGACCUUCAACACUUGGUGGUGGAGGAGAAUUAGUUGGUGGCACAGACGGUACAUGACCUUCAACACUUGGUGGUGGAGGAGCAU